UUAAUUAGGAUUCCAACCAAAUAACUCCCCUCCCAAAAUUUUAAUCACUUGCUUUUCACCGGCUCCCCUACGUCUAACCAUUCAAAGAAAUCUGCCCCCAUACGUUUGAUCUGAUCGAAGAACUAAGCCUCUUGCGGAAGCAGAACCUUCAUCAAAGCUCACUGUCACUACACUUUCCACAUCGAGACACAAAACCCCCAAAUUCUCAUAAUUAGGGUUCCUAAUCGCCAUGGAAAUCCACUCGUAAGAUAAACCCGAAGCAGUUCUUGAAUAAAGCUGUACUGAAUCUACAGAUUAACAUUCUUGAAUAAAAUGUGCAAAAACCGGUGGCUAAAUGGUGGCAAUAUCGGUGGCUAAAUGGUGACAAUAUCGGUGGCUAAAUGGUAUAAAACGUGCAAAAACUGAUGGUUAAAUGGUGGCAAAUCAGUGGCUAAAUGGUAUAAAAACGCGUCACAACUCGGUGGCAAACAAGGCGGACGUAGCAAACAUGAAGCGGUGGCAAAUAAUUUUGACCAAUUUUGUGGUGGUAAAAUAAGGUAGCAAAAUAUAAAAUGGUGGCAACUUGGUGGCAUUAGGGCAAUUGACACGGGUGUUUUUGUCACCGUAUUUUCGAUGGCAAACUGGUGACAAUAAGGAAAUUGCUACCAUUUUGUAACCAAAAAUUACAUGACAAAAACCAUGUUUUCUAGUAGUGUGUGUUGAUUCACUCACGACACAUUCCCGUAUCAAGGGCACGAGAGCAAGUCCAUGAACAGGUUAGUAUCAUCGUACCAACAAAGAGACGAACUUGACUUGUGACAACUGGCACAAAACCAGUAAUUUCUGUACUAUUUUAAUAUUAUUUAUUUCCUGCAUUUAUGUGCUUAAACGUCAACGUUAUAUGCUUACUUGUUUU